CGGCCAAGCCAGACCUGUAAAUUCUAGAGGCCUGGCAGGACUCUGUGGGAGGAGCUCCAGGGCAAAGGGCCCGCAGCACUGAGUGGUGAACGCCGGAGUGGGGCUUAAAUCCAUUAACAGAAACCUUGGCUAUUUAGGUCACAGAUCACGGUGCAGUCGAUGGUUCCUUAGAAAAUCAUCUGGCCCAAUCUCCUUCCUAUAGAUAUGUGAACUGAGGCCUGUGUUGAAGAAACAGGUCUAAUUCCAGUGAUGGGGUGGAGAAGUGUUGCCAUAGGGAAUGUUUCUUGGCAACACCAUCUGAUGAGAAGGCCUAUUCAGUUAAUGAUCCCGUGAUGGGCGCCUUCCUAAGCAAUCCUUUUUCUUGUUCCUGAAAUUUUGGAAUGGACACAAGUGUGUGUGAUGGUGGUCAGUUAGCUUUCUUGGAAUCUAUUCCCUAGGCCGUCUAGUUUGAUUGUAUUGAGCUGAGCUGCACAACUGAGAUGCAUCCAAGAACAGUGGCUUCUCCUCCAGGACCCCGGGAGCCCUGCUGGCCCUGACAUCUACUUCCUACUCUCACUCUCCUGCAUCACUCUUAUAAGGGCCUUUGUGAUUAUACUGGGCCCACUUGGAGAUUCCAGGAUAAUCUCCCCAUCUCAAAAUCCUCAGCUUGGGGCUGGCCCCGUGGCCGAGUGGUUGAGUUCGCGCGCUCCGCUGCCGAAGGCCCAGUGUUUUGUUGGUUCGAAUCCUGGGUGCGGACAUGGCACUGCUCAUCGAGCCAUGCUGAGGCGGCAUCCCACAUGCCACAACUAGAAGGACUCACAACGAAGAAUAUACAACUAUG
rnacentral:lncRNA from 1 species